AUAUUACUGCCUCUUGGGAAAACAGCAGACUGUACUCCAGACAGAGACAAAGACAUGAGGACAUCCAUUGCUUUUAAGUCCUAUACCAGACUAUGUUGUUCCAGCUGUCUGGGUAAAGACUGAUACAUUACUGCCUCUUGGAGAACAGCAAACCAUUAUCCAGACAGAGACAAAGACAUGGACAUCAAAACAGAAAAUUAAGUACUUUAUCAUGGAUUGUUUGGAGUGAAUGCUGACAAAUAAUGAAGCAGGAAAUGAAAAUCCUUGACCAAAACAAUUUUUGUACUUGGCUGUAAGAAGUCCUUUGUGUGCACAGACAUGACUGGAGAUUAAAGUUACUAAAUGUUGCUUUUUUUCUAGCUGGUGACAUAACAUGAUAUUAUUUUCAAAUGUAUUUAUCUAAUACACAUUUGCACAUCUG